UACGUAGGGUGCAAGCGUUGUCCGGAAUUAUUGGGCGUAAAGAGCUCGUAGGCGGUCUGUCGCGUCUGCUGUGAAAACCUAGGGCUUAACUCUGGGCGUGCAGUGGGUACGGACAGGCUAGAGUGCGGUAGGGGAGACUGGAAUUCCUGGUGUAGCGGUGAAAUGCGCAGAUAUCAGGAGGAACACCGGUGGCGAAGGCGGGUCUCUGGGCCGUAACUGACGCUGAGGAGCGAAAGCAUGGGGAGCGAACAGG
rnacentral:rRNA from 1 species